rnacentral:rRNA from 1 species
CCUACGGGUGGCAGCAGUGAGGAAUAUUGGUCAAUGGACGAGAGUCUGAACCAGCCAAGUAGCGUGAAGGAUGACUGCCCUAUGGGUUGUAAACUUCUUUUAUAUGGGAAUAAAAUGUUCCACGUGUGGGAUGUUGUAUGUACCAUAUGAAUAAGGAUCGGCUAAUUCCGUGCCAGCAGCCGCGGUAAUACGGAGGGUCCGAGCGUUAUCCGGAUUUAUUGGGCUUAAAGGGUGCGUAGGUGGAUUGUUAAGUUAGUUGUGAAAGUUUGCGGCUCAACCGUAAAAUUGCAGUUGAAACUGGCAGUCUGGAGUACAGUAGAGGUGGGCGGAAUUCGUGGUGUAGCGGUGAAAUGCUUAGAUAUCACGAAGAACUCCGAUUGCGAAGGCAGUUCACUGGACUGCAACUGACACUGAGGCUCGAAAGUGUGGGUAUCAAACAGGAUUAGAUACCCUAGUAGUC